UUUCCGUAGGUGAACCUGCGGAAGGAUCAUUAUUGAAUAAGCUUGGUUGGGUUGUUGCUGGCUCCUCGGAGCAUGUGCACGCUCGCUCCAUUUUUAACCACCUGUGCACCUUGUGUAGAUCUGAACAACUCUCGGGGAAACUCGGUCAGAGGAUUGCUGUGUGUAAAAGCCAGCUUUUCUUGGGUUCAGAUCUAUGUCUCUAUAUACACCAUAAGAAUGUAUUGGAAUGUAAUUGACAGGCGUUACAGCCUUUAAAAAUCAAAUACAACUUUCAACAACGGAUCUCUUGGCUCUC
rnacentral:misc_RNA from 1 species